GACGGAGGAUGCAAGUGUUAUCCGGGAAUCACUGGGCGUAAAGCGUCUGUAGGUGGUUUAAAAAGUCCACUGUUAAAGGUUGAAGCUUAACUUCAAAAAUGCCGUGGAAACUUUUAAACUUGAGUAUGGUAGGGAUAGAGGGAAUUUCCAGUGGAGCGGUGAAAUGCGUAGAUAUUGGAAAGACCACCGAUGGCGAAGGCACUCUACUGGGCCAUUACUGACACUGAGAGACGAAAGCUAGGGGAGCAAAUGGG
rnacentral:rRNA from 1 species